rnacentral:rRNA from 1 species
CACGCAGUAAACGGUGAUCACUAGGUGUAGCGGGUAUUGACCCCUGCUGUGCCGCAGCUAACGCAUUAAGUGAUCCGCCUGGAGAGUACGAUCGCAAGGUUAAAACUCAAAGGAAUUGAC